UACGAAGGGGGCUAGCGUUGUUCGGAAUUACUGGGCGUAAAGCGUGCGCAGGCGGUGAGCUGUGUCCGAUGUGAAAGCCCCGGGCUUAACCUGGGAAUGGCAUUGGAAACUGGCUCGCUGGAGUGUGGCAGAGGGGGGUGGAAUUCCGCGUGUAGCAGUGAAAUGCGUAGAGAUCCGGAGGAACACCAGUGGCGAAGGCGACACGCUGGGCCGUACCUGACACUGAUGCGCGACAGCAUGGGGAGCAAACAGG
rnacentral:rRNA from 1 species